UACAGAGGGUGCGAGCGUUAAUCGGAAUUACUGGGCGUAAAGCGCGCGUAGGCGGCUUUUCAAGUCGAUUGUGAAAUCCCCGGGCUCAACCUGGGAACUGCAGUCGAGACUGUCUAGCUAGAGUAUGGGAGAGGGAAGUGGAAUUUCAGGUGUAGCGGUGAAAUGCGUAGAUAUCGGGAGGAACACCUGUGGCGAAGGCGGCUUUCUGGGCCUUACCUGACGCUGAGACGCGAAAGCGUGGGGAGCGAACCGG
rnacentral:rRNA from 1 species